UUGACCUUUAACCUUAUUGGUGAAAACCGUUGAAGCUGGUUGAUCAAUUGUCCGGAUUAAUUUAUAUGUUUUAUUGAUACACACGAACAACUUAAACUUUAGUUAAAAAUUACAUGUGCAGCCUUUUGUUUGCAGUAUGCAAUGGUUACCUCCCUUACUUCAGUUUUGAAAAUGUCCCAAGUAACUCGAGGAUCAUUAUUUUUGGUUGAUGUGUCUGUUGCAUAGAACAUGUAGAAGAGAUUUUGUAUUUUGAGCAAAUUUACUUUUUGGAUUUUCAUGAUACACAAAUAGGAGUAUUUUUCUCACAGCGUUAUGAAG